GUGAGGAAUUUUCCGCAAUGGGCGAAAGCCUGACGGAGCAAUGCCGCGUGAAGGAUGAAGGCCUAUGGGUUGUAAACUUCUUUUCUCAGAAAAGAAUUAUGACGGUAUCUGAGGAAUAAGCAUCGGCUAACUCUGUGCCAGCAGCCGCGGUAAGACAGAGGAUGCAAGCGUUAUCCGGAAUGAUUGGGCGUAAAGCGUCUGUAGGUUGUUUAAAAAGUAUUCUGUCAAAGAUUAGGGCUUAACCCUAGAUAGGCAGAAUAAACUUUUAAGCUAGAGUUUGGUAGAGGCAGAGGGAAUUCCCGGUGGAGCGGUGAAAUGCGUAGAUAUCGGGGGGAACACCAAAGGCGAAGGCACUCUGCUGGGCCAAUACUAACACUGAGAGACGAAAGCGAGGGGAGCAAAUGGGAUUAGAAACCCGGGUAGUCC
rnacentral:rRNA from 1 species